CGUCAUCUCAGUACCUGGAUUUGACGCGGCCUCCAUGAGUGUCAACUGCAGCGCCACUUCCUUUGACAGCUGGAUUUAAGACAAAUAUAAAUUUUAAAACCAAAAGUCAGAAAUUGAUCCUUGAGAGUGGCUUCUAUUCUUUUCUCAGGUAGAAAUGGGAUAUUAUAGGACAAGAAUUAACCUUUUUGAAGGGACUUAGACUCCUGAACACUUAUCCAUUCAGUUUCAGAAAAAGAGAGUUUCCUUAGCUUGCUGCCUCACCAGGGGUGUGGGUGCAUAUGUGCUUGUGUGAUUUUUAAAGAGAAGCCCUGAGUCUUUGAGUAUUUGUAGAAUUUAAAGCACUUCCAUAGACAUCGUCCUUUUUUUCCCCCCUUCAGAUAGAUAAAAGCCCAGAAGGACAGUUCACUCAGCUGAUGACAUUGCCCAAAAGCUUACAGCAACAGAUAAAUCAUAUUAUGGACCCUCCUGGAAAAAACAGAGAUGUGGAAGAAACUUUAUUCCAAGUGGCUCAUGAUCCCGACUGUGGAGAUGUGGUGCGACUAGGGCUUUCAGCAAUCGUGAGACCAUCUAGUAUAAGACAGAGCACGAAAGGCAUUUUUACUGCUGGCCUGAAGAAGUCAGUGAUUUAUAGUUCACUAAAACUGCACAAAAUGUGGAAAGGGUGGCUGAGGAAAACAUCCUGAUUUGCUUGCUUUUAUAUGUGUUAUGUAUAGAUGAAUAAAGUGUUUGAUCCUUUUUGACAGAA
rnacentral:sRNA from 1 species